UGGGGAAUUUUGGACAAUGGGCGAAAGCCUGAUCCAGCAAUGCCGCGUGUGUGAAGAAGGCCUUCGGGUUGUAAAGCACUUUUGUCCGGAAAGAAAUCCUUGGCUCUAAUACAGUCGGGGGAUGACGGUACCGGGAAGAAUAAGCACCGGCUAACUACGUGCCAGCAGCCGCGGUAAUACGUAGGGUGCAAGCGUUAAUCGGAAUUACUGGGCGUAAAGCGUGCGCAGGCGGUUUGCUAAGACCGAUGUGAAAUCCCCGGGCUCAACCUGGGAACUGCAUGGUGACUGGCAGGCUAGAGUAUGGCAGAGGGGGGUAGAAUUCCACGUGUNGCAGUGAAAUGCGUAGAGAUGUGGAGGAAUACCGAUGGCGAAGGCAGCCCCCUGGGCCAAUACUGACGCUCAUGCACGAAAGCGUGGGGAGCAAACAGGAUUCAGAUACCCUGGUAGUCCAGCGCCCUAAACGAUGUC
rnacentral:rRNA from 1 species